CGGACAGCAGCGUGUCUCAGGAGGGGUCUCGAGACUCUUUUGUGUUUGUGAACUGUAUCACGGCUCGGGGGCGUUACAUGCAAACAAAAAACAGCGCGUUUAUGUUUCUCUGCUGAUUCAGAAGCGCGCAUACGCUGUUGUGUGGACACACAUGCAUUGAAAGUUUGUUUAGAACAGGGCGAUGUUAGCGUGCGUGCUAUGCCUGUGCCGAGAUCCGCUCAAGAACAGCGCUGUCACGUACUUCACGGCCGGCGUCGCGCACUCCAGUCUCCGCCCACUUCGCGCGUUUUGUGUGUGACAAACCCUCUAGACGAGCGUUGGUAGGUGUGACCGUGGCGUGAAGAGUCCAGGAGUUAGUGUCCACGCACACAGACGCGCUCAGAUUGUGUGUCUCGUGAGCUGUCGCUGAGUUGCGAGACCCGUCGUGGUGAGGAGAGCUGGCGGAGACGUAGCCGAGACUAAAUCAAAGCACAUCUGCUGAGAAAAUGGGUGAGGAGGGGCCGCCCAGUCUGGAGUACAUUCAGGCCCGGGACCUGUUCCCCCAGAAAGAGCCGGUCAAAGAAGACGACGCUCUACAGGUCAGUUUCACGCCUAAU